GGUUCAUUAGUGUAGCGGUUAUCACUCCGGAUUCUGAUCAGGCCAUGUCCACAGAUCUUCCGGCAACCCCGGUUCGAAUCCGGGAUGGACCU